UACUUGUCACAGCUGAAGGAUGCACAC
rnacentral:piRNA from 1 species